AGUUUGAGAUAAUUACCUAGUUGCAGAAUCUCAGCAGCUAAAUGACCCCUGAGUACUUAGAAACAAUGAACGCAACAUAAAUAAGAACCCAGCAACAGCAACUCCAAAAGGACAAUAGAAAAUAACAGUAACAGAAAUCAAGAAUACCCCCGAACAACCCAGUAAGAAAACACUUGAACUAGCAACUAGCAACACCAGAAAUUACUUAAGAGAUCUUUUUAUCUUUUCAAAGAUUUUGCGCACAAACAAUACUUAUAAAAGCUCUGAAAUUUCAGUUUUCCAUAUGUGCACAACUGUUGAUUUCUUUAAGAUAUAUGCCCUUUUUCGAGUGUAAACGAUGAUCUUUAUGUGAGGAAAGACCUCUUUCUUUAUAGGAAAGGAAGUAGAUUGAAUUAUUUGAUUGAAUCUGUCCAAAGGACGAAUUUUUCACCUAAAAUCUAUUCCAACUAUCCAAAAAACAAAUUUUCACCAACUAUGAACCUCUGAAAUUUCAGUUUUCCAUAUGUGCACAACUGUUGAUUUCUUUAAGAUAUAUGCCCUUUUUCGAGUGUAAACGAUGAUCUUUAUGUGAGGAAAGACCUCUUUCUUUAUAGGAAAGGAAGUAGAUUGAAUUAUUUGAUUGAAUCUGUCCAAAGGACGAAUUUUUCACCUAAAAUCUAUUCCAACUAUCCAAAAGACAAAUUUUCACCAACUAUGAACAGUGCUAGGAGCAUUGUACUCUAAACAAUAUUUAAAUAGUAAAAAGUAGCCAAACAAGUACCCUACAACCAAAUAUUCAGCAUUUAUCAUGACUGAAAUUCAAGCUAAUACACUCAUACUCAAACCAACUAUGAAUUGGCAAAGCAAGAAAUAAGACUUCAAAUGCAAUUGAACUAAGUAUCUAAACGAACUAAACUAAAACUAAUCAAUUAACGAUAACUAACAAUGAGCUAUUGAAAUAAGAAAACACUGCCCAAAACAAAACUUAGAUGAACAAUGGAAAACUAUCGAACAACGAGUAAAAUCAACUAACUAAACGACUAACUAAGUGAAUGAUUCAAAAAACAAAGAUAACUAACCAACAAUGUAUUAUUUGAAAUUCUAAUUUGACCAAAAGAGAAAUAAAAAGCUAUUGCUAUUAAAAAUCAAAAAUCAGUGAGGGAAUGGAGGUCUUGGAUUGAUACCUACAAAAUGUGCUCAUCUUAACACCACCUCGGGGAUGAAGUACGACCACCGAACUCAAGGUUUCUUGCAAACUCAGUCAUCAUGUGCCAAAAGAUGGGUCAGUGGCUUGAUGAAGCAAGAAACAUGGGUCAUGGUAACAUAUAGAAGCGGAUAGAGGCAGUUUGGAAGCAGGUGGUGGCAGUGACAAGUGCAGAUUGUCAGUGGGGUGGCCGGAUGGAAACUUCAAUGAAGAUCGGGUCAAAAUCAAUGCCAAAUGAUAGCACUUAUUGAGCUAUAUACUUCUACGUAGGCAUUAGGUGAAGAGGGUGGCUCAAUAUUUUCAUAUUUGACAAAACAAAUGCAGUUAUGGCUUUCCUAUAUCUAAAAUUCAUGGAGUUUGAAGGAAAAUUAAAGUAUCCGAGGAUUUGAUUCACGGAGAGGGGGUUUAUAGGAAGAUAUGGUAAACUAUUAGGGUGUUUUGGACUCUGGUGGACGGUAGCGGGCGGUGGUUCCGCCAUGGAGAGGGGUGCUGGCUGAGAGAGAAGAGAGAUAGAGAUAGAGGGUGCUAGGGUUUUAGGAUAAAAAUCAUGUCUUCAUUGUCUAUUUUAGAAGAAAAUUACUCUAGAAGUUUGAGACAACUACCUAGUUGUAGAAUUACAGCAGCUAAAUGACCCCCUAAGUACUUAGAAGUAACAAACACAUCAUAAACAAGAACCCAACAAUAACAACCCCAAACGGACAGUAGAAAACAGCAAUAACAGAACUCAAGAAUACCCCCGAAAAAUCCAACAAGAAAACACUUGACCUAGCAACUAGCUUGCCAUAUGUGCACAACUGUUGAUUUCUUUUAGAUAUGUGCCUUUUUUCUUUAGUGUAAAAGAUGAUCUUUAUGUCAGGAAAGACCUCUUCCUUUAUAGGAAAGGAAGAGAUUGAAUUAUUUGAUUGAAUCUAUCUAAAGGACAGAUUUUCCACCUAACUUCUAUCCCAACUAUUCAAAGGAUAGAUUUUUGGUAAAACAUCUGUACAAAAGACAAUUUUUACCAACUAUGAACAGUGGUAGGAGUAAUGUACUAUGAACAGAUUUUAAACAGUAAAAAAUAUCCAAACAAGUACCUACACUCAAAUAUUAAGCUUUUAUCAUAACUGAACUUCAAGCUAACACACUCAUACUAAGACCAACUAUGAAUUGGCAAAGCAACAAACAAGACUUCAGAUGCAAUUGAACUAAGUAUCCAAACGAACUAAACUAAAACUAACCAAUUAACGAUAACUAACAAUGGGCGAUUGAAAUAAGGAAACACUGCCCGAAAUAAAAUUCAAAUCAACAUUGAUAAAUUUAUCGAACAAUGAAUAAAACCAACUAACUAAACAACCUACUAAGUGAACGACUGAACUAAAAGAGAUAACUAAUCAACGGUGUAUUAAUUUGAAAUCCUAAUUAGAAAAAAAUAGAAAUCGAAAGCUAUUGCUACUAAAAAUCAGAAAUUAGUGAGGGAACGAAGGUCUUGGAUUGAUACCAAAAUUCGUGACUCAAAUCUGCUCGUUUUAACACCACCCUGGGGAUGAAGUACAGCUACCGAACUCGAGGUUUCUUGAAAACUCAGUCACCAUAUGCCAAAAGACGAGUCAGUGACUUGUGGAAGCAAGAAACCUGGGGCAUGUUUGCUUAUAAAAGCGGAUAGAGGCAGUUUGGCAGCGGGUGGUGGCAGUGACAACGGUGGAUCCGUAGUGGGGUGGCUAGACAGAAACUUCGCCAAUAGAUCGGGUCAAAACCAAUUCCAAAUGAUAUCCCUUGUCGAUCUAUAUACUUCUAUGUAGGCAUUGGGUGAAGGGGGUGACUCAAUAUUCACGGAUUUGAUAAAAAAUUACAGUCAGGGCUUUCCUAGAUCUAAAAUUCAUGAAGUUUGAAGGAGAAUUAAAGGAUUUGAGGCUUUGAUUCAUGGAGAGGGGGUUUAUAGGAAGAGAUUUUAAACUUUUGGGGUGUUUUGGACUCCGGUGAACGGCGACGGGCGGUGGUUUCGCCAUGGAGAGGGGCGGUGGCUGAGAGAGAAUGGAGAUAGAGAUAGAGGGGGCUAGGGUUUUAUAAUAUGUUUAAAUAAGGAAAAAAAUCUAAUCUUAGGAAUUUUCAAUGUUCCAUGAGUGAUCAAGUGACGACCAUUAGAUCAAACGGAAUGAAUGGAUGAGAUUUAAUCUUGAUUCACUUAAAUGAAAUGAUAUACUUUUGGCCUAAUACUACACCGAUU
rnacentral:lncRNA from 1 species